GAGCUACUUUAGCUCAAAUUGCUGAAAAACUAAAUUCUCACUAUGAUAGAAAGGUGUCCGAACACAAAGUAUAUGGCAGUUUGCUGUGUAUUCGGCUGUGUAUAAAGUGCCCAUAUUGACCCCCUGUUCCCGCUGAAAGCUUCUUCAAUGGGGACGUCCGCAUCAGAACAUGACCAUGGACCAAUGGAAUGUAACCUGGUCUGAUGAAUCUUGUUUUCUUGGAUGGAUGGAUGCAUGUG